rnacentral:lncRNA from 1 species
CGCCUCCCGGCGCACCGACGCGCCUCUCCGGUUACUAAGCGGCCUUGGAUACCUGGCCGCGGGAUGCUGGGCGGCGUCAGGUGACCGGUGGUCGCUGGGCCUCAGGUAACCAUGGAGAAAGAGCUGCGGAGCACCAUUCUUUUCAAUGCCUACAAAAAGGAGAUAUUUACCACCAACAAUGGCUAUAAAUCCAUGCAGAAAAAACUUCGGAGUAAUUGGAAGAUUCAGAGGUGA